rnacentral:lncRNA from 1 species
GGCUCUGGCCCUCCACGCCCGGUGGGCUUCCCGCGGGACCUUUGCGAGGCCAGGCUGGGAAAAUGAGAAGGCACAUACCCGCCCUCGCCACAGACGUCUCCACUGAGGCUUGGACCUCUCUCCUUCGUACCCAGCUCUCCAGGCUUGGGUCACGCCGGGAAAGCCCACCUCCCCUCCCCGCAGGCGUCGUCCUUACACCCCAGGAAGCGUUUUCAGUAAGAAAGACAAGAGGGCAAGGAGGGAAAACCUUGCGCACCUCUCUGGCCACCAUGGUCAGGUGGACCUGCCCUCCACACGGGCAGACCCCCUUCUCUAUGACCGGGUGGCCUUCUCUGGGGAGUCUGGGGUGUGUUUCCGAAUUGGCUGAACUCCAUGGAUUAACCCCUCCUCCCCCCAAUAAUGUACGUACUUAAUACACACGACAAUUUAAUAAUCGCCAGGGGUCUCAGAACCCGGACAGCUAGAUGCUAGGAGGAGAAAGGGCUGUCCGACUUUUUUUCCCCCUCGGGGACAGAGUUCAGAGCCAGCGCGUCCUCCUGCCCCUCCAGUUCAUUCCCCAAUUUGGGGUUUCGAUUUUUCCGGGAAAAGUUAAUCUGUCUUGAUGGGCUGGAGAGGGGGUCUGGGCGCGCCAGGCGGAGACCUGAGAAGACGCUGGCGGAGGAGGUGUGCGAAAGAGGAAAGAGGCGCGCUCUGGGCGGAGACCCUCCCCGACUUGCCUCUGGAGGCUGUGCUAGGAGAGCGUCGAAACCUGACGAGGCUGGAGAGAUCCGAGUCGGGAGAGGCCGGGCUGGGCAGGACGUCCCGGCCGCGCCCCGUCCGACGCGCUGAUGGAUUGGCUUGUCAGGAGAGCUCCGUGCGCGGAGCCCAUCAGAAAGCACUUACCUCGCUAAACUGAAAUUACUGUCUUUUCAAGGGCUAAUUUGUGUAACUCCCAUGGAGGGGCAUGCAGGGGGUUUGAUGAGGCAUAAAAUGAUGAUUAAUGAAUUUAUUGGCCGAUGCUCAUCAAAC